rnacentral:rRNA from 2 species
UUGCACAAGNCCGUGGAGCAUGUGGUUUAAUUCGAAGCAACGCGAAGAACCUUACCAAAUCUUGACAUCCCUCUGACAAACUGUGUAAAGCAGUCUUCUUCGGACAGAGGUGACAGGUGGUGCAUGGUUGUCGUCAGCUCGUGUCGUGAGAUGUUGGGUUAAGUCCCGCAACGAGCGCAACCCUUGUCUUUAGUAGCCAGCAUUUCGGAUGGGCACUCUAGAGAGACUGCCAGGGAUAACCUGGAGGAAGGUGGGGAUGACGUCAAAUCAUCAUGCCCCUUAUGAUUUGGGCUACACACGUGCUACAAUGGCGUAAACAAAGGGACGCGACCCUGUGAAGGCAAGCAAAUCCCAAAAAUAACGUCUCAGUUCGGAUUGUAGUCUGCAACUCGACUACAUGAAGCUGGAAUCGCUAGUAAUCGCGAAUCAGAAUGUCGCGGUGAAUACNUUCCCGGGCA